UUUACCGGCAGCUACAUUACCGGUAAAUUUGUAAUACCGGCCGCGGCCUUUGCAGGUAUUUUACCGGCUAGGCAUGUAAAACACUGGCCGGGUGGCAACCCUAGCUACAUUGCCGGUAAAAUUGUAAUACGGGCCCCGGCUGGUAACACUAGUUGCCACCUGGCCGGUAAUAAUGUUGCUUGAUGCCAAUGUUAUUUGAUGCUAUAAAAAUAUAGGAAAGCGGGUAUUUUUUUCCAGAAAAGGCGGCAACCCUACCCCUACCACAGCAGCUAAAUGCCUGAUAUCCCAGUUAUUGGCAUUAAAAGUCUCAUAUAAUUGAUUCCUACUAAUUUCCCUGUCACAACUGUUUCCUGGGGUUUUUAUUUAUUAGAUUUUCCUCACAAGGGAAUUAUAUUGUCUGCUUUGCAUCUUCUCUCACUGAACCUUAAUAUCCAACAUGGAGUCAGAAAAAAAUUCCUUUCACAAACCGCCUUGAAAAAGUAUUUGACUCAGACUUUCCAUGAGAUUCUAGAACGCGCUCGACCGCGCCUUCCUUUGUUUAUUAUUAAACAUUCGUCAUAAUGCGGUUCUAACCGGCUUUGGCCGGACCUACACGACAGAAAUCAUUCCGCAGCACCCCAAGCACCGACGUAAUGUCUAGGAAGACCGAAUGAGAUCAAUCCGCUAGUUACGUGUUUUAGUAUCAUUCCGCCGAUUGUCUUUGAAUAAAAUAACCGUCAGUUUUAAUUGGCCGCGUAUUCAAUCCCUGGUGUCGUUCUGUUGCGUUUAUUUUAUAAGAAGAAGCUCUAAAUCACGGAGCAGUUUGAUCCCUUUUUACUUGUUAAUGGACUUCAUUUUCAGUCGUAUUCUCUUUAUGAAAUACAACGCCAGACUACAGUUUGUGGUUUUUACAUAAAGCCCUGGUCGUUCGAAAUGGGCGGUGCUGGGACUAACUUCAUACAGCGGAAGGAUUCGUUCGUCACCAAGGUGUUAUGUGUUCAAGUCUAUAAAAAGAGGGGACCACGGCUAACGUGACUAAUCGGCUGGACGCGAGAAGAGAAGAAGGUAGAGAUAUAGGCACAGGACAGAACUGGUUUGUGGUAUGUAUAAUGGCUAAGCCUUGUGGUAAGUUUACUGCAAUCCUCGGGCUAAUGGCUUACACUAAUUGUAUUAGCAAUAUUCUAUGUAUUAUAUAGCAAUUAUCCCAUACAAAAAAUGUUAUUUGAUCAAAUAUCCUGAUGAACAUUUUCAUCGUUUGAUGUGCACAUUACUUUACAUUUGUAAUAUUAAUAAUACAAAGUCUGCACCCAAAACAAGUUUUAUUGGACGAUCUUAUGUCCACGACUUAUUGUAUUUAUAGAUUCCCUGUGCAUUAUGGGUUCCCUAAGGAGCCACAAGAGCUGCUACUAUAAUAGAACAUUUUCCCCUGUAUAAAUUCUAAAUGGAGUCCUUUCUUAAAGGCACACGUGAUAAAACUUGGUUCUGUAGGCUAUGUAAAAUGUAACGAUAUUUCAAUGCAGCUCAUUUAUUUUAAACCCCUUACUAGCCGUUAACCAGAAUUAAGUACAAUGCUGCGUUUCAUUGGCGACAGCAUGUUUAAACCUGUCAAUGUGCAACACAUAAAGCUAUAGGCACAUGCUCUUGGCUUUUGGGGUUGCUGUCUGUUUCUCUGGGUCUUAUAAUUCUCAGGCCUCUAAAAAGAGCAAGAGAGUACCUUGAAAGGGAAGACGCGUCUUUGUGAAGAUUCAUUUCACUUCCAUGGACUACAUAACACCUAAACUGAAGAACAGUGUGAAAACCGCAGUAUUUUGGGUGUACGCACAUGUAUCGUGGAGUUUAGGGUUGGUCAGGCAAGCUCAGAGAUACUAGCGACUAUAGCCUUUUAGGACUGCAGCGGAUAUCAGACAUGAUUAUUCCCUUUGGGUAGGGUGUAGUAUAUGACGCAUAUGACGUAUAUGCUACAUUUAGAUAUGGGAGGAAAGGGGUGUGUCCAGUAUUUUAGAAUGUGGGAGGCAAGGGGUGUGUCCAGUAUCUUAGAUUGAGGCAUAUCUAGUUCCUUAGUAAGAACAGUGCUUAUGAAUAACCACUAGGUGGUGUACUGAGUGUGGUUUAGUUAACUGCACUGUUAUAUAAGGCAGUAAUGACAAGAUCUAUUUCUGGGUUUGAUGGGAGGGCAAUGAGACUCCUCUGAUUUUAUUUUCCAGGUAUGGCUGAGCCUUGAGAUCACUUUAAAUGAAGUUGCCUAGGCUUCAUCGUCCAAUCUAUUACUUUAUAUAGGUUUUUGAGCUAAAUGUGAUGUGUACUUUGGAAAUAUUGCAAUAAACACUGUUUUUUUCAGUGAUGCCUGGGGGGGAAGGGGUGAAACUAAUAUUCAAUUAACAUGACACCUUGUAACUUGAUCUUGCCUAUGUUUUGGGGUUUAAUUUACUGAAGGGGGAGGGGAUUUUAUAAAAUGGAUAUGUUUUUAGAUCCUUUUCAGAGUGCUCAUGCGUCUCCAGCAGAUGGCUACAGUGGAACCUUUACUUGAUGCGUCCCCAUAGCCUGAGAUGUACGUCUGGCUGCAGUGUCCCUUUAGGAUCAGGAGUCCCUCCUUUUGCCUAACAUAUGCGUACGUCUGGUGUUACUUCAUCAUAAAAAGCCCCAUUAUCAGUUCUUCCUCCCAUAAAGGACAGAUCAUCUUUCCUGCUUGCCACCAAGUUGCCUUAGUUCUUCAUUCCUAAUAAAGAUGGACAUAGGUGUGGAGGCCCUUUGUUCUUGGAAAGGCGUUAGUUGAGGAAAAAAAAUGAACUAAGUAUAACAGAAGUAUGGCCCCUUUACUGAACUUAUGUCGUUUAUUUCUACAUAAAGUGUUGCAGAAUAAUAACAACCUGGACGAUGGUACAAGCCGUGUGCUGAAAAUUGUGCUUCAGUAAUUAUACAUUUCGUUUUUGUUUGUUUUUUUGCUUGUAAGGUGUUGUACGUAUAUUUAAUAUUAUGCUGUGCACUCCUAUACUAUGCAGUAAUCUAAUAUUUGUAUGUGUUUAGGGUUUGCUUAUCGAAGUGCCAUGUCUUUAUGUUCAGAUCUCUGUGUACUGCACAUGCCUCCUGUGUUUAAUUCUAGGCCUUUUUGCCCUGUAGCUGGGGCAUUUUAGUCUGUGUCUUGUUCCUAAACUGCUUUGGCCUAAUGAUAUGGGGUGGGUAUGGGGAUAAUAAUAAUAAUAAUAAUUAUUGGUGAAUGAGGUAUCAAAUGAUAUAUAGUACAACACAUAAACCACUUAAAAAUGCAGUGUCGCCUCACCUCAAGGAUUGGACUCUGCUGAGAAAAGCCAUCUGCAAAAGGCGGUUAUGGUGAUCAUCUGUGGAAGGAAAGGACCAACUUGUUACAGUGAUGCGUUGCUACAUUGGCUUCUUUAUCAAUUGGUCGUUAUUCUGGGAGCGCAAUAUAAAACACACCUACACGUUCUCCAGUAUGGACCUAAACCACGGUCAGCAGAGUGUAAAAUCCGUUAUAAACCUAAUAAGCAGCGUUUAGUGUUUUGGUCUAAAAACCUUACAACCUAUAAGCUCUGAUGGUAUUGAAAAGCUCAGGGAGAGAUUGAGGGUAUUUAUCAUUUGGUGUCUUAUGGGGGUGUUCUCUCAAUUCAAUACCCUAUGAGGGUAUUUUUUCAUUCAAUACAGUAUGAGAGUAUUUUUUUAUUCAAUACUCUAUGAAAGCAUUUACCAUCACUUAAUACCUUGUUCAUCAAUCUGGUCUGCUUUACAGAGAUACACCCGCAUAACUGAUGAGAGCGGUGAAAGCAAAUGAAGCACAGACCAUUAAUGCAACUAGGGUGAAGUGUAUAAACCACGUUUCUAACAAGAUGAUUAUUGGUAUCCGUGUAUAUUUCUGAAUCGACAUUUUGUUAAACAGCAUGUUAAAAGAGGGCCUGAUGUGUGGGUCAGUAUUGUUUAAACACUGUAUUGAAGGUUGAAUUUAUGGGCAAAAACUAAUUCCUCGGCAUUAACUAAGUGCCUCAGUAUAAUUGCAAUGAAUAAAACUAACAAAGGAUAGAGUUGUCUACUACACUGCUUUUAUGAGGUUUAAUACCCAAUAUUCAUACUUUCAAAGUGUCAACUGAAGCUUGAGAUUUGAAGUUUAAUGUAUUGCAGCACGGCCAUAAUAAAAGUCUAGUUUCUGAUUAAAA